GACGAACGCUGGCGGCGUGCUUAACACAUGCAAGUCGAACGGAAAGGCCCUGCUUGCAGGGUACUCGAGUGGCGAACGGGUGAGUAACACGUGGGUGAUCUGCCCUGCACUUCGGGAUAAGCUUGGGAAACUGGGUCUAAUACCGGAUAGGAACCAUCUUUAGUGUGGUGGUUGGAAAGUUUUUUCGGUGUAGGAUGAGCUCGCGGCCUAUCAGCUUGUUGGUGGGGUAAUGGCCUACCAAGGCGGCGACGGGUAGCCGGCCUGAGAGGGUGUACGGCCACAGCGGGGGGGAGGCACGGCGCGGACGUGGACGGGAGGCAGCGGGGGGGGAUGCUACAGGGUGGGCGCGACCCUGAGGCGGGGCGGCGGCGGGGCGUAUGAAGGCAGUAGGGUUGUGAACCCCUUCCGCGGGGGGGGACUUUGUGUGUGGCGGUACUGAGAUAAGCAGCGCGGGACAACUACGUCCCGGCGGCGCCGGGAAAUCGAAGCGCCUGCUUCUGAGC
rnacentral:rRNA from 1 species